AGAGGUCACACCCGUUCCCAUACCGAACACGGAAGUUAAGCUCUUCAGCGCCGAUGGUAGUUGGGGGUUUCCCCCUGUGAGAGUAGGACGUCGCCAGUC
rnacentral:rRNA from 1 species